rnacentral:rRNA from 1 species
GAUUCCCCUAGUAACUGCGAGUGAAGCGGGAAAAGCUCAAAUUUAAAAUCUGGCGGUCUUUGGCCGUCCGAGUUGUAAUCUAGAGAAGUGUUACCCGCGUCGGACCGUGUAUAAGUCUCCUGGAAUGGAGCGUCAUAGAGGGUGAGAAUCCCGUCUUUGACACGGACUACCGAGGCUUUUGUGGUGCGCUCUCAAAGAGUCGAGUUGUUUGGGAAUGCAGCUCAAAAUGGGUGGUAAAUUCCAUCUAAAGCUAAAUAUUGGCGAGAGACCGAUAGCGAACAAGUACCGUGAGGGAAAGAUGAAAAGAACUUUGGAAAGAGAGUUAAACAGUACGUGAAAUUGCUGAAAGGGAAACGCUUGAAGUCAGUCGCGUUGGCCGGAAAUCAACCUUGCUUCUGCUGGGUGUACUUUCUGGUUGACGGGCCAGCAUCAGUUUUGACCGAUGGAAAAAGUCCAAGGGAAUGUGGCAUCUCAGGAUGUGUUAUAGCCCUUGGUCGUAUACAUCGGUUGGGACUGAGGAAUUCAGCACGCCGAAAGGCCGGGUCUUUGACCACGUUCGUGCUUAGGAUGCUGGCAUAAUGGCUUUAAUCGACCCGUCUUGAAACACGGACCAAGGAGUCUAACAUGCCUGCGAGUGUUUGGGUGGAAAACCCGAGCGCGUAAUGAAAGUGAAAGUUGGGAUCCUUGUCAUGGGGAGCACCGACGCCCGGACCUGAAGUUUACGGACGGCUCCGCGGUAAAGCAUGUAUGUUGGGACCCGAAAGAUGGUGNNCUAUGCCUGAAUAGGGUGAAGCCAGAGGAAACUCUGGUGGAGGCUCGUAGC